rnacentral:rRNA from 1 species
CUACGGGAUGCUGCAGUGGGGAAUAUUGGACAAUGGGGGAAACCCUGAUCCAGCAAUGCCGCGUGUGUGAAGAAGGCCUGCGGGUUGUAAAGCACUUUCGGUUGGGAGGACUGCUUCUAGCACUAAUAUUGUUGGAAGUUGACGUUACCUUCAGAAGAAGCACCGGCUAACUCCGUGCCAGCAGCCGUCGGUAAUACGGAGGGUGCAAGCGUUAAUCGGAAUUACUGUGGCGUAAAGCGCGCGUAGGCGGCUAGAUCAGUCGGGUGUGAAAGCCCCGGGCUUAACCUGGGAACUGCAUCCGAUACUGUCUAGCUUGAGUACAGGAGAGGAGAGUGGAAUUCCACAUGUAGCGGUGAAAUGCGUAGAUAUGUGGAGGAACACCAAUGGCGAAGGCAGCUCUCUGGCCUGAUACUGACGCUGAGGUGCGAAAGCGUGGGGAGUAAACAGGAUUAGAUACCCGGGUAGUC